rnacentral:rRNA from 1 species
AACGAACGCUGGCGGCAGGCUUAACACAUGCAAGUCGAACGCAUCGCAAGAUGAGUGGCAGACGGAUGAGUAACGCGUGGGAAUCUACCCAGUUCUACGGAACAACAGUUGGAAACGACUGCUAAUACCGUAUACGCCCUACGGGGGAAAGAUUUAUCGGAAUUGGAUGAGCCCGCGUAAGAUUAGCUAGUUGGUGGGGUAAUGGCCUACCAAGGUGACGAUCUUUAGCUGGUCUGAGAGGAUGAUCAGCCACACUGGGACUGAGACACGGCCCAGACUCCUACGGGAGGCAGCAGUGGGGAAUAUUGGACAAUGGGCGCAAGCCUGAUCCAGCCAUGCCGCGUGAGUGAUGAAGGCCUUAGGGUUGUAAAGCUCUUUCACCGAUGAAGAUAAUGACGGUAGUCGGAGAAGAAGCCCCGGCUAACUUCGUGCCAGCCGCCGCCGCAGUAA